rfam:Picea glauca, whole genome shotgun sequence.
AUGUACUGUAAUGCCUACAAUGUUAAUGUAUCGAAUCCCAUUAAAAAUUUGCAGUUAAGUGUGCUUGGGAUAGACUAAUACUAGUAUGAGUGAUCUCCUAUGAAUUCCUAGUGUUUUACAUG